GCCGGGACGACGAGAAGGGGGUGGACUGCAGGGUCAGGGUUGGGGAGACGCGCACGCGGGGAGCUCACUCAGGCCCGCGGCAAGUCGUUUCCCUCCAGGCUCCUCGAGGACCCUAAGGACCCUGCAGAGGGGCCAUUGCAACAUGCAGACUCCAAGACUAAUGGCAUCUGGCUGUACAGAGACCCCUCUGAGGACCCAGAGCCCUGAUGGAAGAAACAGGACGAUUUCCUGAAGAUUGGCAGGGCACUCCUGGCACUAAGAACAAUGGAGGAGGCCACUCUGUGCUGGGGGUGUUCAGAUACAUGCCACACAAAGAGCCACAAUCCCACCUGUGAGAAAUAAUGACUUCAGGGGCCUCUGCGGGCAUCAGGAAAGGCAGAUGGGCACUGGGUUUGGAUACAGGGUGGUGAAAAAGUGUGUGAAGAGUGGUGACAGUUGCAUGACAAUGUGAAGGUACUUUGAACAAUUUAAAGUAGUCACAAUGGUAACUUUCAUUGCGGGUAUUUUACCAUACGAAAACACAAAACAUACUGUAUCAUUGAAAAAAAAAAGAAGAGGCUUUUGUGAAGCCUCAGUAUUACUAUUAUAAUUAAUGUUAGCCAGAGAAUUAAAAUUAUUUGGAGAAUAAAACAUGGCCACAAACACU